rnacentral:rRNA from 1 species
UCGAUUUACCUUCGGGUAUUGAGGAUGGCGGACGGGUGAGUAACGCGUAAGGAACUUGCCUCUUGGUCUGGGACAACUGUUGGAAACGACAGCUAAUACCGGAUAUUAUGAGAUUCUCGCAUGGGAAACUUAUGAAAGCUAUAUGCGCCAAGAGAGAGCCUUGCGUUCCAUUAGCUAGUUGGUGGGGUAACGGCCCACCAAGGCGACGAUGGAUAGCCGGCCUGAGAGGGUGAACGGCCACAAGGGGACUGAGACACGGCCCUUACUCCUACGGGAGGCAGCAGUGGGGAAUAUUGGACAAUGGGCCACAAGCCUGAUCCAGCAAUUCUGUGUGCACGAUGAAGGUCUUCGGAUUGUAAAGUGCUUUCAGUUGGGAAGAAGAAAGUGACGGUACCAACAGAAGAAGCGACGGCUAAAUACGUGCCAGCAGCCGCGGUAAUACGUAUGUCGCAAGCGUUAUCCGGAUUUAUUGGGCGUAAAGCGCGUCUAGGCGGAAAAAUAAGUCUGAUGUUAAAAUGCGGGGCUCAACUCCGUAUUGCGUUGGAAACUGUUUUUCUAGAGUACUGGAGAGGUGGGCGGAACUACAAGUGUAGAGGUGAAAUUCGUAGAUAUUUGUAGGAAUGCCGAUGGAGAAGUCAGCUCACUGGACAGAUACUGACGCUAAAGCGCGAAAGCGUGGGGAGCAAACAGGAUUAGAUACCCUGGUAGUCCACGCCGUAAACGAUGAUCACUAUGUGUUGGGGGUCGAACCUCAGCGCCCAAGCUAACGCGAUAAGUGAUCCGCCUGGG